rnacentral:rRNA from 1 species
UACAGAGGGUGCAAGCGUUAAUCGGAGUUACUGGGCGUAAAGGGCGCGUAGGUGGUUGUAUAAGUGAGAUGUGAAAUCCCUGGGCUUAACCUAGGAACUGCAUCUUAUACUGUAUAGCUUGAGUACUGUAGAGGGUAGUGGAAUUUCCGGUGUAGCGGUGAAAUGCGUAGAGAUCGGAAGGAACACCAGUGGCGAAGGCGGCUACCUGGACAGAUACUGACACUGAGGCGCGAAAGCGUGGGGAGCAAACAGGAUUAGAAACCCGUGUAGU